rnacentral:rRNA from 1 species
CGGGUGAGUAACACGUGAGUAACCUGCCCUUCACUCUGGGAUAACGCGGGAAACCGGUGCUAAUACUGGAUAUGACCUACUCGGGCAUCCGAUGUGGGUGGAAAGAUUUAUUGGUGGGGGAUGGACUCGCGGCCUAUCAGCUUGUUGGUGAGGUAAUGGCUUACCAAGGCGACGACGGGUAGCCGGCCUGAGAGGGCGAUCGGCCACACUGGGACUGAGACACGGCCCAG